UUGAAGAGAAUUAAUUAAAACCUAAAUGCGGCAGAUGUGAGGGGAACCAGGCUUGCUACAGUAACUGCAGUGACAGAACUGGAUUAACUUCAGAUCCUACUGAGGUUGCCUAUUCUAUCCUAGUACAGGG
ensembl:snoRNA SNORA66 Small nucleolar RNA SNORA66